UACGUAGGGGGCAAGCGUUGUCCGGAUUUAUUGGGCGUAAAGAGCGUGUAGGCGGCCAGGUAGGUCUGCUGUGAAAACUCGAGGCUUAACCUCGAGCUGUCGGCGGAAACCAUCUGGCUAGAGUCCGGAAGAGGAGAAUGGAAUUCCCGGUGUAGCGGUGAAAUGCGCUAGAGAUCGGGAGAACACCGUGGCGAAGGCGGCUACCUGGACCCGAGCA
rnacentral:rRNA from 1 species